rnacentral:rRNA from 1 species
AUUGAACGCUGGCGGCAGGCCUAACACAUGCAAGUCGAGCGAGUGGCGGACGGGUGAGUAACGCAUGGGGACCUGCCCGAUAGAGGGGGAUAACUACUGGAAACGGUGGCUAAUACCGCAUAUUAUUGGAUCAACCCAUAUGGGAUUAGCUAGUAGGUGGGGUAAAGGCCAACCCAGGCGACGAUCUGUAGCUGGUCUGAGAGGAUGAUCAGCCACACUGGGACUGAGACACGGUCCAGACUCCUACGGGAGGCAGCAGUGGGGAAUUUUGGACAAUGGGCGCAAGCCUGAUGCAGCCAUGCCGCGUGUAUGAAGAAGGCCUUAGGGUUGUAAAGUACUUUUGUCAGGGAAGCGGUACCUGAAGAAGAAGCACCGGCUAACUCCGUGCCAGCAGCCGCGGUAAUAC